GUGAGUGUAGCCAAAUGGUAAGGCAAAAGACUGUGACUCUUUCAUUCGCGGGUUCGAUUCCCGUCAUUCACC
rnacentral:tRNA from 1 species